GACGAACGCUGGCGGCGUGCUUAACACAUGCAAGUCGUACGGUAAGGCCCUUUCGGGGGUACACGAGUGGCGAACGGGUGAGUAACACGUGAGUAACCUGCCCACAAAUUUGGGAUAACGCUAGGAAACUGGUGCUAAUACUGGAUAUGUGCUCCUGCUGCAUGGUGGGGGUUGGAAAGCUCCGGCGGUUGUGGAUGGACUCGCGGCCUAUCAGCUUGUUGGUGGGGUAGUGGCCUACCAAGGCGGCGACGGGUAGCCGGCCUGAGAGGGUGACCGGCCACAUUGGGACUGAGAUACGGCCCAGACUCCUACGGGAGGCAGCAGUGGGGAAUAUUGCACAAUGGGCGCAAGCCUGAUGCAGCAACGCCGCGUGCGGGAUGACGGCCUUCGGGUUGUAAACCGCUUUCAGCAGGGACGAAGCUUUUUGUGACGGUACCUGCAGAAGAAGCACCGACUAACUACGUG
rnacentral:rRNA from 1 species